UUUCGCGGCUGGUUGUGUUCCUUCGGUAGCUGCGUCAGGAGGAAGAAGGAAAGGUGCUCUGCAACUGAAGGAAGAGGGAAAGGUGAUCUACGAUUGUUGCGAUUGAAGGAAGACGUAAAGAGGGAAAACCACUGUUAACAGUUUUAUUAAGAAAAUUCUCAAGCGCGACGAGCAUUUGAUUCUCCGGUUUUCUACGUUAAGGAAAAAUUACAAGCUGCAAUUAAGGAUUCUGUGUCUGAAAAUGAGGCAUUUCAGAAAGUAUUUGGAAAAGAACAUCCUGGAUAUGUUCGUUGUAUGGGACUUGGAGUUACGCCAUCUCAAAUUAAUGGAUCUAUGAGAUCGAGGUCUUCUUUGGAAGAAAAUGAAAAAAUAAAGGAAAUGCAAGAAGAAAUUAAUGCACUUAAAGAGAAGAACUCAAAAAUUGAUGAAUUGAUGGAUGCAGUCGCAUUCUUAAAGCAAAGGGACAGUGCUAUGACAGAGGAAAUUGAACGCUUAAGGCAAAUGCAAAAUUCUAGCGGAAGACAGGGAUUGGAAUCAUCUGCUGAUGGUAGACGUUCUUCUGAGUCUAGCUACCGAGUUGCAGAUAAUAGAUCAUCAGGAAGGACAAAUUAGACUUUGCUAUGAAUUAAUUAGAUUAUGAACUUUCCUAUGUAUUUUUGGCACUAUGAAUCUUGUUAUUAUAAGAUUAGGAGUUGAUAUGUUUUUCGAUUUUUUGUAUUUCAUGACAUGAUUAUGGAACUCA